CGCUACUACAGAGGAAGCAUCAUAUCUGAGAGUCCUUAUUUACAUUUCCCCUUUUUCAGCAGUGUUUCUUCUUCAAUAGCUCUGGAUGGAAGGAACAAAAUUAGUUAAAUAUAAUACUGGAGCAGGGUUUUGCAAGCCAUUCCCUGUUGGUUAUUCUUAAUAAACCAAACAGUAAGCUUCCCACUGGUGUAAUCUUUGUGAAAAUAUGUAAAUGCAGUGUUUGAAUAUGAUCAACAGACAAACUGCUUGGGAUGUUAUUCAUGUUUGAGUUUAUUAGUGAUUAUGUCAGCACAGGAUUACUGAAAUCACCAUGAA